rnacentral:rRNA from 1 species
UACGUAGGGUCCAAGCGUUAUCCGGAAUCACUGGGCGUAAAGCGUGCGUAGGCGGCGUGUUAAGUGUGAUGCGAAAUCUGGUGGCUCAACCAUCUAGACUGUAUCGCAUACUGGCAUGCUUGAGGAUGGCAGAGGUAAGUGGAAUUGAUAGUGUAGCAGUGAAAUGCGUAGAUAUCUGGAGGAACACCGGUGGCGAAAGCGACUCACUGGCCCGACACUGACACUGAGGUGCGAAAGCUAGGGUAGCAAACGGG